rnacentral:rRNA from 1 species
CUUGCUUGAUGUUANGUUGGCUCCGAGCCCAAUUAGUGUCGGAGAGAAGUUGUUAAGCAAGCUGCCUGGGAAGUACGGUCGCAAGACUGAAACUUAAUGGAAUUGGCGGGGGAGCACAGCACCGGGUGGAGCGUGCGGUUUAAUUGGAUUCAACGUCGGAAAACUCACCGGNGGCGACGGUUACAUGAAGGCCAGGCUGAUGACCUUGCCCGAUUUUCCGAGAGGUGGUGCAUGGCCGCCGUCAGUUCGUACCGUAAGGCGUUCUGUUAAGUCAGACAACGAACGAGACCCUCAUCUUUAAUUGCUACUGGUAAGUCCGCUUAUCAGGCACAUUAAAGAAACCGCUGGCGAUAAGUCAGAGGAAGGCGANNGCAACGGUAGGUCAGUAUGCCCUGAAUCCUCCGGGCUACACGCGCGCUACAAAGGCUAGGACAAUGGGAUUCGACACCGAAAGGUGAAGGUAACCCCGAAACCUAGUCAUAGUUCGGAUUGAGGGUUGAAACUCNNCCUCAUGAAGCUGGAAUCCGUAGUAAUCGAGGAUNACCUACCCGCGGGAAA